rnacentral:rRNA from 1 species
AUACGGAGGAUCCGAGCGUUAUCCGGAUUUAUUGGGUUUAAAGGGUGCGCAGGCGGCCAUUUAAGUCAGCGGUUAAAUCGUGGGGCUCAACCCCAUUCUGCCGUUGAUACUGGGUGGCUUGAUUGCGGUCGAGGUUGGCGGAAUUCGUUGUGUAGCGGUGAAAUGCAUAGAUAUGACGAAGAACACCGAUUGCGUAGGCAGCUGACCAGACCGCAAAUGACGCUCAUGCACGAAAGUGCGGGGAUCGAACAGGAUUAGAUACCCUGGUAGUCCGCACAGUAAACGAUGAAUACUUGUUUUCGGCGAUAUAAUGUCGGAGGUAAAGCGAAAGCGAUAAGUAUUCCACCUGGGGAGUACGCCGGCAACGGUGAAACUCAAAUGAAUUGACGGGG